rnacentral:tmRNA from 1 species
GGGGGUGACUUGGUUUCGACAGGGAUAUAGGGGAUUGUCGAUGCAUGUCGAGGAGAUCACAUACUCGUUAAAACCGGUGGUAACUAAAUUUAAUCGCAGAUUACGAUUACGCAUUAGCUGCUUAAUGUAGCUACAUUCUCUGCUCGUUUUACCGAUAGAUUAGCAGAAGAAUGUCAUUUUUAUCGGUUAUAAACGGUAGAUGCCUAUAAUAUCGUCUGAAAAUUUUUAGGCUGGCUUUCUUGUUGGUUUGACUAUUUUUCCUACUUUUAAGCGAGAA